AUUAUUUUAUAUCAGACAAGCUGCAUUUUAAGGCAAAGCUCUUGCUUUUUGUUUUUGUUUUGUUUUGUUUUGCUUUAAUGAGUGACAGGGCCUUGCUCUUUCACCUAGGCUGAUCUGGGAUUGGCAAUCCUUCUGUCUCAGCAUCUGGAGUAGCUGAGAGCACAGCAUCCAUCACCCAGUGGUGAAAAUAGUGCACCACUGAGCCCUGUACCUCAGGUGGAGGAAAGAGAUUAGCAUAUGGACCAUCUGUCAUCCUGGGGCCUCGAACUCUGCCCAGAGUUGGUUUCUGAAGGAGACUGCUGAGAUCAUGAGAAACACGCCUUAUUUCUUGAAGUUCUGGAGUAUGUCAGCAUUUUAGGACACACGUACCAUUCUGUCUAGCCAGUGCAGAUCUCCAAUCAUGAAGAAGUCUACAGUUCCCGGUAAGAUCCCACUGGAAAGUCUCUAGGUCAAACCAGUUAUUUGCAGUUUAAUUAUCUGCC
rnacentral:lncRNA from 1 species